AUCUCCGGCCCGGCCGCCGGUCCCGCAGCAGCCGGAGCCGGCUCCACCUCCACCGCGGCCCCGCCUGCUUGGAAAAAAUGUACACUUUUCACAAAGUCUGAUGCGUAUCUAUGGCUUCCUGUGUUGCCACACGUGCAGCAUCUUUGAAGGUGACAGGAGGGGACGAAGGCCAAGCAUAAGAAAGAAUGAAUGGUGAAGUGGAAAAAGUCUUCCAUAAAUUUGGCUUCCAAAGUGCUCUGAAAAAGCUCCAUGUAUCUUAGUUCUCACCCAGUUUUCCAGUUUGUUUCCAGAGCUCAGAGGAUAGAACUGAUGUGGAGUAGCUCUAAACCUGAGAAGGGCUUGUAGUAAUGACACACAAAUAAAAAUGUCCAGUUCAAGUUUAGAAGCUGUUUGAGAGCUCAGUAUUGAAGCUGGGAAGCUUUUCCAUCAGUAGGCCAUGCUAUUGCUGGUGGAUGGAAAAUUAGCUGAAAUCUUUCAUCUGAUGUUUUGCAACUAUUGUCAUGUAAGGAGAUAAAAAUCGGGGGGGGGAGGGGGUGCUCAAGGCACAUUAAUUAGAAUUUCUGCUAAUUCAGGAUAGUUAAUAAGAAUAAAUAAGGAAGUAUGUAACCAGAGGAAAAGUAUUUAUGUGAUAAUUUAUGCU